AACGAACGUUAGCGGCGCGCUUAACACAUGCAAGUCGAGCGAGAAAGGGCUUCGGCCCCGGUAAAGCGGCGCACGGGGUGAGUAACACGUAGGUAAUCUGCCCCCAGGUGGUGGAUAACGUUCCGAAAGGAGCGCUAAUACAGCAUGAGACCACGUCUUCGAAAGAGGAUGGGGUCAAAGCCGGCCUCUUCAUGAAAGCUGGCGCCAGGGGAUGAGCCUGCGGCCCAUCAGCUAGUUGGUAGGGUAAUGGCCUACCAAGGCUUAGACGGGUAGCUGGUCUGAGAGGAUGAUCAGCCACACUGGGACUGAGACACGGCCCAGACACCUACGGGAGGCUG
rnacentral:rRNA from 1 species